rnacentral:rRNA from 1 species
AGCAGCCGCGGUAAUUCCAGCUCCAAUAGCGUAUAUUAAAGUUGUUGCAGUUAAAAAGCUCGUAGUUGAAUUUCGGGGUCAGUAGGCUGGUCGUGCCACAGGUACGUACUGGUCUCACUGAUUCCUCCUUCCUGAUGAACCGUAAUGCCAUUAAUUUGGUGUUGCGGGGAAACUGGACUGUUACUUUGAAAAAAUUGGAGUGUUUAAAGCAGGCUAACGCUUGAAUACAUUAGCAUGGAAUAAUGAAAUAGGACGUUCGAUCCUAUUUUGUUGGUUUCUAGGAUUGACGUAAUGAUUAAUAGGGAUAGUUGGGGGCAUUAGUAUUCAAUUGUCAGAGGUGAAAUUCUUGGAUUUAUUGAAGACUAACUACUGCGAAAGCAUUUGCCAAGGAUGUUUUCAUUAAUCAAGAACGAAAGUUAGGGGAUCGAAGACGAUCAGAUACCGUCGUAGUCUUAACCAUAAACUAUGCCGACUAGGGAUCGGAUGAUGUUAAUUUUUAAUGACUCAUUCGGCGCCUUAC